rnacentral:rRNA from 1 species
GUAGGUGGCAAGCGUUGUCCGGAAUUAUUGGGCGUAAAGCGCGCGCAGGCGGUUCUUUAAGUCUGAUGUGAAAGCCCACGGCUCAACCGUGGAGGGUCAUUGGAAACUGGAGAACUUGAGUACAGAAGAGGAAAGCGGAAUUCCACGUGUAGCGGUGAAAUGCGUAGAGAUGUGGAGGAACACCAGUGGCGAAGGCAGCUUUCUGGUCUGUAACUGACGCUGAGGCGCGAAAGCGUGGGGGAGCAAACAGGAUUAGAUACCCUGGUAGUCCACGCCGUAAACGAUGAGUGCUAAGUGUUAGGGGGUUUCCGCCCCUUAGUGCUGCAGCUAACGCAUUAAGCACUCCCGCCUGGGAGUACGGCCGCAAGGCUG